CUUGUACUCCCUCCGUCCGGAAAUACUUGUCAUUGAAAUUGAUGUAUCUAGAUGUAUUUUAGUUCUAGACACAUCCAUUUUGAUGACAACUAAUUUCGGACGAAGGGAGUACUUG
rfam:Triticum aestivum genome assembly, contig: Triticum_aestivum_CS42_TGACv1_scaffold_328096_4BS